rnacentral:lncRNA from 1 species
CAGACUUGAGACUGACCGUAUUGGGGGCCGAGUCAGAGGUCCAUCUCCACUAAUCCAUCAAUGGGCGGAGUUCUGUUUACAGACUGCAAGAGCCCUGCCUUUGAAGCAAGGGGUGAUUGCUGGUGCGUCGCCCUCUGCCCUGGAGAGUGUACCUGUCAAAUUGAUUGAAGAGAUCACGAAGGGUAAACCAAAGCUAGACACAAACCUAGUUGCUGGAGUGCCACCACCUGAAAUAUUGGAAAGAUGUGAGUUCUUGGAGCCAUUUUCGGAUGCAACGUUGUGGGAUUACCAAAGGCUCAUUGAUAACAUGCCCAAAUCUGGCCCUGGUUUCAUGCACAUGAUGGAGUACAUUUCAUCAAUUAUUGGAACAGUGAG